UGCGAGCGUUAAUCGGAAGUUACUGGGCGUAAAGACGCAUGCAGGUGGUUUGGUUAAGUCAGAUGUGAAAGACCCGGGGCGUCAACCUCGGAAUAGCAUUUGAAACUAGGCAGACUAGAGUACUGUAGAGGGGGGGUAGGAAUUUCAGGUGUAGCGGUGAAAAUGCGUAGAGAUCUGAAGGAAUACCGGUGGCGAAGGCGGCCCCCCUCGGACAGAUACUGACACUCAGAUGCGAAAGCGUGGGGAGCAAACAGGAUUAGAUACCCCUGGUAG
rnacentral:rRNA from 1 species